UGAUGAGAACCCUGGCAUGGUGGAUGGACUUGGCCAUGCCGGACUUGAAGACGAGGGUCUGGAGGCGACGCUCUAGGAAGUUCUCGACAGUGAGUGCGAGGACGUAAUCGAGUUUGUUCUGGGUCUCGUCUAGGAGACCGUAGCGGAACAUGCGGCGGAGGAGAGCCUCGCCCUCAAAGAUCCGGCGCGGGUUCUUCUCGUCGAGCGUGAGGAGGUUACGCGCGUUGUUACGGAUGCGGCUAAGGGCGUACUGCACCCUCCAGAGCUCCCUCUUGCACCGCAGCCCGUACUCCCCCACCAGCUUCAGCUCCGCGUCCAGACGCUCCUUCUCAUACGGACGACGCGGCUUCUUGAACGUCUUUCCAUCU
rnacentral:lncRNA from 1 species